rnacentral:rRNA from 1 species
UACGUAGGGGGCAAGCGUUGUCCGGAUUUAUUGGGCGUAAAGAGCGUGUGGGCGGCCUGACAGGUCUGCUGUGAAAACUCGAGGCUCAACCUCGAGAUGUCGGCGGAAACCGUCUGGCUAGAGUCCGGAAGAGGAGAGUGGAAUUCCUGGUGUAGCGGUGAAAUGCGCAGAUAUCAGGAAGAACACCUAUGGCGGAGGCAGCUCUCUGGGACGGUACUGACGCUGAGACGCGAAAGCGUGGGGAGCGAACAGG